rnacentral:rRNA from 1 species
GAUGAACGCUGGCGGCGUGCCUAAUACAUGCAAGUCGAGCGAACAGACGAGGAGCUUGCUCCUCUGACGUUAGCGGCGGACGGGUGAGUAACACGUGGAUAACCUACCUAUAAGACUGGGAUAACUUCGGGAAACCGGAGCUAAUACCGGAUAAUAUAUUGAACCGCAUGGUUCAAUAGUUAAAGACGGUUUUGCUGUCACUUAUAGAUUGAUCCGCGCCGCAUUAGCUAGUUGGUAAGGUAACGGCUUACCAAGGCAACGAUGCGUAGCCGACCUGAGAGGGUGAUCGGCCACACUGGAACUGAGAAACGGUCCAGACUCCUACGGGAGGCAGCAGUAGGGAAUCUUCCGCAAUGGGCGAAAGCCUGACGGAGCAACGCCGCGUGAGUGAUGAAGGUCUUCGGAUCGUAAAACUCUGUUAUUAGGGAAGAACAAAUGUGUAAGUAACUAUGCACGUCUUGACGGUACCUAAUCAGAAAGCCACGGCUAACUACGUG